UAAUUCUCCCCCAUCGGAAGCGGACGAAGAAAAUGACGAAUGGGUACUUUUUUGUUGGUUUUUAUGGCGAAUGAUUGUCGGAGAGAGACUCAAGGAAAUUAUUUGGACAAAGAAAGAUUUGGGGCGGCGACAGAAACAUGAGGAAUGGGGACGGCGAUAAAAACAAACAAAUGUACCAAGUAAAAAAGAUGUAGGAGAAAUAGAUAUAGGUUAUGGGGUUGUAAGAAGAGUGAGCCGGGACAAAAAGACGAAGAUAGGAUAAAAUGUGUGUUGCAAUGUAUAAGGAAAAGACAAAAUAGUUCUGGGAUAAUAAGAAGAAUGUGAAAAGAAAUUAAGCAUCAAUACAUAAUAAUGAGGAGAAGGAAGAGAAAGUAGAGGAAAAGGAAGAGAAAGUAGAGAAGGAAGAAGAAUUAAAGGAAGAGAAAGCAGUAGGUCUCGAAGUAAGGCAGUGGUAUUAAAAUGUUCCCUCAUGAGUAAGAUAGAAAUAAAGGAAAUACUAAUGAAAAAAAAGAAUAUCCAUAAAAUAAGACUUGCCGAAACAAAGAAUUCAAUAAUCAAAGGCGACAUAAACACUAGUAAUACCGAUUAAUGGCAGAGUAUAAACUUAAAUAAAAUAGAGUAAUUACAGGUUAGCGAUGAUGAGAGUGGAAGUAAAACGAACAAUAAAACGAGUAAUUGAUUUGAUGAGAAUAAAAGCAAAUGAUGGCAGCGACGAUACCGGAAUUUAACCCGUCCGCUGCGAUUGGCACGGAUUUCGCCUUCACUGGUGGCCUGGUAACAUACACUCCCAGGUCUUUCUCUGCCUCUGUGGUGGAUAGUGGAGUGUUUCCCAUGUGGUAUUGGUGUGCUGGAUAUCCCUUCACUGGUAGCCUGGUAACAUACACUCCCAGGUCUUUCUCUGCCUCUGUGGUGGAUAGUGGAGUGUUUCCCAUGUGGUAUUGGUGUGCUGGAUAUCCCUUCACUGGUAGCCUGGUAACAUACACUCCCACGUCUUUCUCUGCCUCUGUGGUGGAUAGUGGAGUGUUUCCCAUGUGGUAUUGGUGUGCUGGAUAUCCCUUCACUGGUAGCCUGGUAACAUUCACUCCCAGGUCUUUCUCUGCCUCUGUGGUGGAUAGUGGAGUGUUUCCCAUGUGGUAUUGGUGUGCUGGAUAUCCCUUCACUGGUAGCCUGGUAACAUACACUCCCAGGUCUUUCUCUGCCUCUGUGGUGGAUAGUGGAGUGUUUCCCAUGUGGUAUUGGUGUGCUGGAUAUCCCCUCCCAAGGUUCAGGACUUUACAUUUUUCUUCAUUGAAUUGUAGCAGCCACUUUUUGUUCCACUCCUGUAGCUUGGUGAUGUCUUCUUGUAGGAAAUCCGCGGUCAAGAGGUUUAAUGAAAAUAAUAAUUACAGGUCAGCGAUGAUGAGAGUGGAAGUAAAACGAACCAUAAACCGAGUAAUUGAUUUGAUAAGAAUAAAACUAAAUGAUGGCAGUGAAGGUACCGGAAAUUAAGAGACGACGACCUCAACUUUGCAAUACGAUCGUACUCUUCUCGUAUCCUCUUCGACAACGACGUAAUGACCCGCGGAAGGAGAACGGGAAAAGGAGAUAAACGACAAGAAGAGGGAGAUGAAAGGGAACAGUAACGAAGAGGAGGUCAUCCAGUGGGGUCGAAGAAUUAAAAGGGAAGAGGAGAAAAACAGGAAGAGAAGUAAGGGAACUGCAGAAGAGAGGUCAUUCAGUGUGGCCGAAGAAUUAAAAGGGAAGAGAAGGAAAACAGGGAGAAGAGAAAUAAGGGAACCGAAAAAGAGGUCAUCCAAUUGAGCCAAAGGAGGAAAAGAGAAAGAGGAGAAAAACGGGAAGGAGAAGAGAAAUAAAGGAACAGCAGAAGAGAGGUCGUACAGUGAAAGAUUAAAAAGAGUAAAGAGUGAUAAACAGUAAAAGAAAGGCAAGGGAGUCAGAUUAUCGUUCAUUAGAGAAAGAUGAUUAACUAUACGAAGAAACGAAAGGAGAAGAAUAGGAAAUAGUGAGAAAUAGUGAAAGAAAAAGAAAAGAGAAUUAAAGGGCAUCGUUCACUGGGGACAUAAAUUAAUAUACGAAGAAGGGAAAGGAAAGGAAAAAAAGAAAAGUUAAAGAAAGUGAAGAAAGAAGAAAAGAAAAGGUACCGGAAAAAACAAGUGAAGGGAAGCGAUGGAGUUGAAAAGAAAUAAGACUUAAAAAUAAAAGAGUAAGAAAGAUUCAGAAACAGUAAAAAUAUGAAAAUAGAAAAUAAAGAAAGAGCAGAAGAAAAGAUGUAAGAGAGGAAAACAAGAGAAGCGAAUAUACCAGAAGGAGCAAGAGAGAACAUUUGUCAGACACAGAAAAAGAUGGAAAAGGAGGAAACAAGGUGAGGAAAGAGAGAAAACGAGAAGAGAGGGAAAGAAAAUUAACAGGAGGUGGAAAUGGGGUGGUACAUCAUGCCCGGAAUAAGAGGAAAGAGAAGGAAGAGAUUGAGAAUAGACGGAAUAAAGGAAAGGAAGAAGAAGAGAGAAGAAAAGAGAGAGCCAUUCAUUACCCGAAGAGAGAACAAGAGAAUCCGAACGGUCAGGAGGUGCAGAGAAAGAGAACAUAAUAAGAGAAAGGAGGAAGAGAAAAGUAAAGAAGAAAGAAAAAGUUUUAGGAUAGAAAUAACGUAAAAUAUAUUGGUCGUUCGUCAAAGGGAAGAAAAGAAGGAGUAAAGAAACAACGAAGAAUAUAAGGGAAAAAAACUGCAUCAAUUACUUGUUCAUCAGAGGCAAGGAAAGAAUGGGAAAGAUGAAGAAAAAGAUGAUAAAUAAUAACAUAAAGGAAAGAGCAGAAGAAGAAAGGGAAGAGAGACGUUAUUCAGUGGCAAAAGAAGAGAAGAGAAGAAAACGAGAAGGAGAAAAAGAAAGUAGAAGAAAGUGAAAAGAAAGUGUGGAAGAAGGGAGACAAGUGAGACGUUCUUUAGUGACAGAGAAAGAGAGGAGAAAAAAUAACGAGGAAAGGAAAGAGAAAGAGUAAAGAGAGUGUAAAUAAAGAGAGGAAGAAGAGACAGAAAUUGAGCAUCCAUGAGAACCAGUAAAAAGAAAGAACGAGGAAUGAGUAAAAAAAAUAAGAUAAGAAGACAGUAAAGAAGAUAAAUAAAAGAAAAAGCUGGUCGUUCGUAAAUAGCAAAAAAGAGCUAGGAAGGAAGAUAAAGAAGAUAAAUAAGAUGGAAAGAAAAUCGUUCAUCUGGAGCAAAAAAACAAAAGAAUGAGGAGAAAGUUUUGAGGAUAGGAAAAAGAAGAAAAAUAAAUAUGAAAGAGAGAAACUGGGCGUUCGUAUGAAACGGAAAAAUUAACUCGAAAGGAAAACAUGAGAAGAGCAGAUAAUAAAAGAGAAAUACUAAAAAAAAAAGGAAUUGGUCGGUCAUAAGAAGAUAAAAAAACACUCGAACGGGAGAAACAAAAAUACAUAAAAGAAAAAGGAGGAAAAGAGGAAGAAGAGAAUACAUGUUAAACGAGGGAGCAGAGGACACUAAGUUCAAUCAAUCAUUACAUACGUACUAAAAACGAAUACUAGAAAAUGCAGAAAAUAAAAAAAAAGCAGAUCAGACCGAAGAGGAGCAGUAGCAGGAGCCAUGAAGAGGGUCGUUGGUCUAGGCUGAGAUGGCUAAUUGAAGAGGUCACCUGCCUAAUGACCCGACAUGACCCUCCCCGUGUUUGUAGCCCACUCGAUGGUCAACCUCUCGUUACGCUUUGUUAGUCCUACUCGUAACUAAAAGAGGGGGGAU